rnacentral:rRNA from 1 species
AGGGUUCGGCUUAGGCAUGCGGGUGCGUGAGUCAUCUGGACUCGCCGAACUGCUCAGUAACACGUAGUUAACUUACUCUUAGCUAGAGGAUAAUCCUGGAAAACUGGGGCUAAUACUCUAUAGUUGUUAAUUGCUGGAAUGCUUUAACAGCCAAAGCUUCGGCGGCUAAGAAUAGGGCUGCGGCCUAUCAUGGCUGUUGUGAGUAUAAAAUACUCACAAACCUAUAACGGGUAGGGGCCAUGAGAGUGGGAGCCUCGAGAUGCAUUCUGAGACAUGAAUGCAGGUCCUACGGGACGCAGCAGUCGCGAAAACUUUCCAAUGCCUUAACGGGUGAGAAGGGAACCCUGAGUGAUUAUGCAUAGCAUAAUCUUUUGUUUUGUCUAAAGAGCAAGACGAAUAAGUGGUGGGUAAGACGGGUGGCAGCCGCCGCGGUAAUACCCGCGCCACAAGUGGUGACCGCGAUUAUUGGGUCUAAAGCGUCCGUAGCCGGUUCAGUGAGUUCUUGGUGAAAUCUACUAGCUAACUAGUAAGCUUGCUGAGAAUACUGCUAAACUUGGGAUUGGGAUAGGAUAGAGGUAUUCCA